rnacentral:tRNA from 1 species
GUGGAAGUUCACGUCAUUAUUUCAUGAUGGAAUAUAUAGAC